AGAGUUUGAUCAUGGCUCAGAAUCAACGCUGGCGGCGCGCUUAACACAUGCAAGUCGAACGAGAAAGUGGAGCAAUCCAUGAGUAAAGUGGCGCACGGGUGAGUAACACGUGGGUAAUCUGCCUCUGGGUGGGGAAUAACUCUGGGAAACCGGAGCUAAUACCGCAUAAGCCCCCAUUGAAUAAAUGGACGGGAAAGGCGAAAGUCGCCGAGAGAGGAGCCCGCGGUCGAUUAGCUAGUUGGUGGGGUAAAGGCUCACCAAGGCUGUGAUCGAUAGCCGGCCUGAGAGGGCACACGGCCACACUGGCACUGAAACACGGGCCAGACUCCUACGGGAGGCAGCAGUGGGGAAUCUUGCACAAUGGGGGAAACCCUGAUGCAGCGACGCCGCGUGAGCGAUGAAGCCCUUCGGGGUGUAAAGCUCUUUCGGCAGGGACGAUAAUGACGGUACCUGAAGAAGAAGCUGCGGCUAACUACGUGCCAGCAGCCGCGGUAAUACGUAGGCAGCGAGCGUUGUUCGGAGUUACUGGGCGUAAAGAGUGCGUAGGCGGUGGUCCAAGUCUGGUGUGAAAUCUCCCGGCUUAACUGGGAGGGUGCGUCGGAAACUGGGCUGCUUGAGUACUGGAGAGGCAGGCGGAAUUCCUGGUGUAGCGGUGAAAUGCGUAGAUAUCGGAGGAACACCCGUGGUGUAGACGGCCUGCUGGACAGUCACUGACGCUGAGGCACGAAAGCGUGGGUAGCAAACAGGAUUAGAUACCCUAGUAGUCC
rnacentral:rRNA from 1 species